CGAACGCUGGCGGCGUGCCUAAUACAUGCAAGUCGAGCGGGGAUUAUGCUUGAUCGCUUCGGUGAGACGGCAUAUAUCCUAGCGGCGGACGGGUGAGUAACGCGUGGGUAAUCUACCUCGUAGUUCGGGAUAACAGGCCGAAAGGCUUGCUAAUACCGGAUGAGUUCAUGCUUAUGCAUAUAGGCAUGAAGAAAGGGCUAGCCCGCUAUGAGAUGAGCCCGCGUCCCAUUAGCUUGUUGGUGGGGUAACGGCCUACCAAGGCAACGAUGGGUAGCCGGCCUGAGAGGGUGUACGGCCACACUGGGACUGAGACACGGCCCAGACUCCUACGGGGGGCAGCAGUAGGGAAUUUUCGGCAAUGGGCGAAAGCCUGACCGAGCGACGCCGCGUGAGGGACGAAGGCCUUCGGGUUGUAAACCUCUGUCUGGGGGGAUGAGAACGGACGGUACCCCCGGAGGAAGCCCCGGCUAACUACGUG
rnacentral:rRNA from 1 species